UCUAUUCUAGUGGGUGGUUUCUCUGCUCGGGCUGCUGUGCCCGACGCGCGGCCGGGGCGCGAUGACGUGCGUGUGUCACUCCGUGGGGCCGCUGCCGCGUCGCGUGCGUCUGCCAUGCCCAGGCUGCUGAGUGCCCUUCUUCCUCGUCUCCGCCCCGCUGCAACCUCUCCUCGUGCCUCGCCUAGCUUCCUUCGACUGUCCUCUGCUGCGGUCUGUUGCGGUGGCCUCCUUUGCUCUAUGGACGCCGCUGGUUGAGCUUGGUUCGACUUGCCGUUGUCGCCUGCGUCGAGCCGUGGGUCUUUCUGUCCUUCGCGUUCAGGUUGUUUUCCUAGUUCGUCCUGAUGUUUGGAUCGCGUGCUCCUCCAGUCCUCCUUCCUAGCUUUGGUUGUACGAUCUUGCCCGCUGCUGCUUGCCAUUUGGUUAUGUGGUACAGUGUGAAUCCGGUGGCUGCCCAGAUCUGAACUGCGCGUAGGGGCGGGUGUUCUCGGCCAGAGUUGGGCGUUCUUGCUGACUUUCUGUCUAACCUAUCCACAAGUAUACUAGCCAAUUUCUGUUUAUUUGAUUUUCCUUUCCAAGUACUCCCUCAAUUCCUAAAUAUUUGUCUUUCUAGAGAUUUUAAAUGGAACACCACAUACGGAUGUAUAUAGACAUAUUUUAGAGUGUAGAUUCACUCAUUUUGCUCCGUAUGCAGUCACUUGUUGAAAUAUCUAGAAAGACAAAUAUUUAGGAACGGAGUGAGUACAUGCUUUAGUUUAUCCUGGUCUGCGUACCUUUUUUAUGUUACCUUGGUGGUCGAUGCAGAAUAACAAAUGCAAAACAAGAUGUGCAAAUGUGAGGAUAGACCUAUGAUUCGCGUUCACAACUUGUUCUUGUUAAAAGAACUACUCUACAAGUUUGUUGCAAGUUACAGUAAUUGUGAGGAUAUGAUACCUUAUAGAAAUGAUGCCUUAGUGUUUCUUGCUUGUAUCUGCAUCGUUGCAUGCCGUGAUUGUGUUCUGACCAGUUUUUUGUUGUAUUUUACAAGUUGUAUGAUCUUGUCCGUUGCUGCAUCUCGGUUCUGCUGAUUGCUUCAUCACCAUUACAAUUUUUGAGAUAUCUAAGCUGACGUCUCGAAUAGUACAGAACAGUCAGUCGGAACUGCAGGAGUCAUCUUCACCUUAAUCUAAAAAUAGAAGGUUUUCCUUUUGCUAGAUCUCUGAAAAAUCUGCAGUGGAGUAAGCGCUGGCAUUACCUACUGCUCUGGUUUUUGAAGUUAAUUGCAGCUGGCAAAGCUUGCACUGAUGUUCAUCGUUCGCUGUGUGGAAGCUACAUAAUUCUAUAGUAGUGGAACACUUGUUCUGGUCUGAUCAUCUUGUAAUUUUCCUUUUUUCAGCUUAACUAUUGUAGGGUAGACAGACUCUAUACAUACUGAAGAAAUGUGCCCGUCCGACAGUCCUUCAUGCUCAGUUGUAGUGAUAGCUUUGGGUACUGUGUGCACCCUUUCAUGUAAUUGUGUUACCCCGGCGAAAUUUAUAACUAUGUUGUCACAUACGUCAACUUAGAUCUCGGAAAGCGUGGGUGCAUUACAUUGUGGA